AGGAUCGGUGAUGCAACGGCUGCCUAUUGCCCUACACCUGCCGACGAGCCCCUGACAACUGGGCGCUAAACACAAUCGCAAUGGGCAAAGUUUAUAAACUGUUUACCGAGCUGCCUAGAUUUAUUGCCGGUGAAAUUAUCCACCCACCUAACCGGCCGACUGUUCGGAUCUGUCUAUAGGCAUAAUACAGUUUCUCCUCCUUGGCAACAUUUCAAAUUGAAGGCAACGGGGGCGGCAAAAGUCGCGUGUUCUGGCGAAAUUUUCAAAUUGUGCGAGUUGGCAUUUAUUAUAGUUUCCUAGGCAUUAUAUAGUUUUCCGCAUUUA